GUGAACAGCAAAGCCAACCCCCUUGGGACCCUUUCAUCAAAGCCUGUGGAGCCAAGAGCAGAUCUAACCCUGGGAGCAGAGGUGUAGAAGACGGACGCGUCAGUGUGGAGCCACCCGCCUGGCUGCUCCUGUUAGCAUUUCAUUUUGGAAAUACUGGGAACCAAAAAUAGAAGUUCUUGAGCAAAGCUUAAUCCUGCUGGCUUUCAAGACGACUGCUGGAACGGUUGCAACUUGGCCACCAGAGGGCACUGUUGCCUGUGCAAAUGCUGAAAUGUGACCCAUAGUGGGCCAUUGUGGGUCACUGUGGGCCCGCGAUUUCCCAAGAAGACCCAGAUGAUUCUUCCAGAACCUAUCCCAGGCCUGACAGCCUAGGAAAUGUGAAAUACACAUCUAGGUGUUCAACAGAUGGAUGUGGAAAAUGUGUAGUGAACAAACUGUGAGCAGCUUCAAAGAACAAAAUGUUAACCAUUGUAAACAUCUAACUGGCUUCCACCGGAGCCAAGAAAGAUCGCCUAGAAGACAGAAGAUUCCCAUGGGCCUGUCAGAGAGCUGCUUUCAUGGGCAAAGGCUGAGAGAGAAGGAGGGCGCUAGUCCCAGGCUGGGCUUUAAACUCCCUUCCUUCUAGGGAGCGUCUGUCAUUUUUCCUGCUUCUAUGAAGAUAUUGGGCUUUGGUUUGGUGGUGUGGAGUUAGCAUGUGGGGUUGGCUCCACUUUAAGUUGUCCUUUCAGGAACCCAGCACAGGAAUUCAGUGCAGGGUCCCAAGUGAUGGAACCAGCAGCCUGGGGAAAAUGAGUCCAGGGGGCCCCAGAGACUUCCCACCUGGCUUCUACUGGUCCCCAAGGCCAUAUUUGUCUUAAUAUGUCUUUGGGGUGGCUUCUGGUUGCCACCAUCAGCUAGGAGCUCCUCCUGGUAGGUCUGGCUCCCACAGAAUUCCUUUGAAGAUGCUAUGGGGCCCAGUACUCCAAGUCCGUGUCACAGAGUUGGUUCAAGGAGUCUCUCAGAGGACACUAUUCACUGAAUUCAUUACAGAAUUCUUAGGCAGUUGUAAAUAUUUGUUGACUAAGGAUUAAGGAUUAAACAAACUAUGGGAAGGUGGUUGGGGAGCAGGAUCUCAAGAUGUCUUCCUGCCCAAGAGUCUCUGCCACCAGGACCCCACCUCCAACCCAAGCUAUGUCCUUCCCAUCAAUGCCUUGAGCCAGGAUUGCAGUGGAAGGCUGCACCUUCGUAUACAAAGUAACAAAUGCAGAGAUCCAGCACCUGAUCCUCACACUGCUCGACCACACAGCCACAUUGUAACCGCCAUCUACCAUGCUGCAGACUCAAACAAUCCUAGCGGGAUGAACUGAAGCCAGAGCACAGCUGGAGAUUACAGAAGUGUCUACAGCUCUAUCAUCCUGAAUGAGCCUGGGCUCAUCUGAGGGGAAGAGAUAACCAGUGUCAAGCUCCGCAGCAAGUUCCACGUUCCAGGAGCUGGCUUGCGACCCGAGAGCCACAGACCCAUUGUGCUCCACAAGCCCAGUGUCAGCUCCAGGCUCCAGAUCAGCUUGGAUCUCAGAUGCUGGCUUCCUUCCCACAGGUGGUAUACAUGAAGCUGGAAAGCCGUGGGACUGGGGGAGCCAGUCCCGAGCAAGAGUGAGGUUGAAAUGUGUUCAAACCCCCACAGAUCUUGUCCUGAGACCAGCAGGAGUAGGACUGCUCCCUCCCUGCUCUGAGCCUGCGUGCCCCAGGACACAUAAGCCUUGCCCCCACCUCUGACACCCUUGGGAUAGUCAUGUAGCCUGGUGGCCAAAUUACAGGUUAAACUUCCUCUCUCCCUAUAAGGACAUGUCCAGCAAUCACCUGAAAUUCCUCUUCCUGCAAAUGGAGCAUUCCUGACACCUCAGCUCCAGCAAAUGUGUACACUCCCUAGGAAAACCCCUACCCACUCCCCAAGAUGUAUAUAACCCUGUGCACCCCUACCCAAUAAA